rnacentral:rRNA from 1 species
AUGAAACACUCCUACGGGAGGCAGCAGUGGGGAAUUUUGGACAAUGGGGGCAACCCUGAUCCAGCAAUGCCGCGUGAGUGAAGAAGGCCUUCGGGUUGUAAAGCUCUUUUGUCAGGGAAGAAACGGUAGUAGCUAAUAUCUAUUACUAAUGACGGUACCUGAAGAAUAAGCACCGGCUAACUACGUGCCAGCAGCCGCGGUAAUACGUAGGGUGCGAGCGUUGUCCGGAAUUAUUGGGCGUAAAGAGCUUGUAGGCGGUUUGUCGCGUCUGCUGUGAAAAUCCGGGGCUCAACCCCGGACUUGCAGUGGGUACGGGCAGACUAGAGUGUGGUAGGGGAGACUGGAAUUCCUGGUGUAGCGGUGAAAUGCGCAGAUAUCAGGAGGAACACCGAUGGCGAAGGCAGGUCUCUGGGCCACUACUGACGCUGAGAAGCGAAAGCAUGGGGAGCGAACAGGAUUAGAAACCCGUGUAGUCCGAAGUUC